rnacentral:lncRNA from 10 species
UGACAAAUGUGCGCACGCCUUGGAGGGCGGGGCCAGGCAGGACAGAGCCGCCCAUGACAGGGGGACACCUCCUGGACAGCAGCCAGAUUACCUCCAACUCCAGACCACCACAUUCAACACCACAGUGAACAUCUCUUUCUAGAAUUCUUGGACUGAUUAUCCAUCUUGACAAAGGAGGCCUUGAAUCAAAUUUAAUCUGGUUUAGUGCACUUAUCAAAGAGACAUCGGAGAGAUCCCUUGUGCCUUCUGCCAUGUGAGUUAUAGUGAGAAGACAGCCAUCUACUAGGAAUCAGACCGUCAUCAGACACCAAAUCUGCCAGCACCUUGAUCUUAGAUUUCCCAGACUCCAGAACUGUUAGAAAUAAAUUUCUGUUGUUUAU